rnacentral:rRNA from 1 species
CCUACGGGUGGCUGCAGUGAGGAAUAUUGGUCAAUGGACGCAAGCCUGAACCAGCCAAGUAGCGUGAAGGAUGACUGCCCUACGGGUUGUAAACUGCUUUUAUACAGGAAUAAAGUGAGGCACGUGUACCUUUUUGUAUGUACUUUAUGAAUAAGGAUCGGCUAACUCCGUGCCAGCAGCCGCGGUAAUACGGAGGAUCCGAGCGUUAUCCGGAUUUAUUGGGUUUAAAGGGAGCGUAGAUGGGUUUAUAAGUCAGUUGUGAAAGUUGGCGGCUCAACCGUAAAAUUGCAAUUGAUACUGGCAGUAUUGAGUACAGUUGAGGUAGGCGGAAUUCGUGGUGUAGCGGUGA